UGGGGAAUAUUGCGCAAUGGGGGGAACCCUGACGCAGCCAUGCCGCGUGAAUGAAGAAGGCCUUCGGGUUGUAAAGUUCUUUCGGUAUUGAGGAAGGUUGAUGUGUUAAUAGCACAUCAAAUUGACGUUAAAUACAGAAGAAGCACCGGCUAACUCCGUGCCAGCAGCCGCGGUAAUACGGAGGGUGCGAGCGUUAAUCGGAAUAACUGAGCGUAAAGGGCACGCAGGCGGUUAUUUAAGUGAGGUGUGAAAGCCCCGGGCUUAACCUGGGAAUUGCAUUUCAGACUGGGUAACUAGAGUACUUUAGGGAGGGGUAGAAUUCCACGUGUAGCGGUGAAAUGCGUAGAGAUGUGGAGGAAUACCGAAGGCGAAGGCAGCCCCUUGGGAAUGUACUGACGCUCAUGUGCGAAAGCGUGGGGAGCAAACAGGAUUAGAUACCCUGGUAGUCCACGCUGUAAACGCUGUCGAUUUGGGGGUUGGGGUUUAACUCUGGCGCCCGUAGCUAACGUGAUAAAUCGACCGCCUGGGGAGUACGGCCGCAAGGUUA
rnacentral:rRNA from 1 species